rnacentral:rRNA from 1 species
AGGGCACCACCAGGAGUGGAGCCUGCGGCUUAAUUUGACUCAACACGGGAAAUCUCACCAGGCCCGGACACCGGAAGGAUUGACAGAUUGAGAGCUCUUUCUUGAUUCGGUGGGUGGUGGUGCAUGGCCGUUCUUAGUUGGUGGAGCGAUUUGUCUGGUUAAUUCCGAUAACGAACGAGACUCUGGCCUACUAACUAGACGUUGGAUCCCUUUGUGGGUCCAUCGUAGCUUCUUAGAGGGACGGGCGGCGUUUAGCCGCACGAGAUUGAGCAAUAACAGGUCUGUGAUGCCCUUAGAUGUUCUGGGCUGCACGCGCGCUACACUGAAGGAAUCAGCGUGUGUUCCCUAUCCGAAAGGAUUGGGAAACCCGUUGAACCUCCUUCGUGAUGGGGAUUGGGGAUUGCAAUUAUUCCCCAUGAACGAGGAAUUCCCAGUAGGCGCGAGUCAUAAGCUUGCGUCGAUUACGUCCCUGCCCUUUGUACACACCGCCCGUCGCUACUACCGAUCGAGUGAUUUAGU